CCUACGCGUGGCAGCAGUGAGGAAUAUUGGUCAAUGGGCGUAAGCCUGAACCAGCCAAGUCGCGUGAGGGAUGAAGGUUCUAUGGAUCGUAAACCUCUUUUAUAAGGGAAUAAAGUGCGGGACGUGUCCCGUUUUGUAUGUACCUUAUGAAUAAGGAUCGGCUAACUCCGUGCCAGCAGCCGCGGUAAUACGGAGGAUCCGAGCGUUAUCCGGAUUUAUUGGGUUUAAAGGGAGCGUAGGUGGAUUGUUAAGUCAGUUGUGAAAGUUUGCGGCUCAACCGUAAAAUUGCAGUUGAAACUGGCAGUCUUGAGUACAGUAGAGGUGGGCGGAAUUCGUGGUGUAGCGGUGAAAUGCUUAGAUAUCAGGAGGAACAUCGGUGGCGUAAGCGCUUUACUGGGCCGUAAUUGACGCUGAGGAACGAAAGCCAGGGUAGCAAAUGGGAUUAGAUACCCCGGUAGUC
rnacentral:rRNA from 1 species